GAACCUUCCGUUUUUGGUCUCUUGUAAUGAACCUUUCAGCUUCUCGUCUGUUAAAUUAAAAACCCAUGAUGAAAGAUGAAAGUCACUGAAAAGGUUAGCCAGCUGUAGGACUCGAACCCACGUCUUCUGAAUUACCGGUCCAGGGCUCUACCAAGUGACCCAAGCCAACACGCCUUCUCAGCGACUUCCAGGGUGCGUCAUCUGAAGGGACAAACCAGCAUUCACUGUGUGAAGGGCGUCUGUGACCCGCCUGCGAGGGCAACUGGCUGUGACGUCAAACACAGGGGUUGUUGCCGAUUGGAGGACGGCCUUUUGCCAGCAAAAUUUUGCAAACAAGCUUGCAAACUUCGUGGUAACUUUCGUCGGUCCGGAGAGAAAGCGUGGGCACCACGUGAUAUGAGCUAAGCGAUGAAGACUCACAUGUUGGUGAUCAGGAAGAGAGAUCGUGAACACGGACAAAUGAUUGACGACAUUAACGAAAUAUUUGCGCAGUUGCUUUACCCUUGAUCUCUCAUCAGUGGUCUAAGGUAAUUAGGUAUUCACAUGUCUAUUCGAAGUCACACGUUGUCUACUCCAGCGAAAGAAUGUUGAAGGAAACCAGCGCAGGCCAGAGAAGGCAAUAUUCACGUCCCCUGGCACGAGGUCGUUCUUCAGAAUGCAUACCUGAAACAAGAACAGCAGGUGAGCCAAGGCUGUGAGACGCAUUUUUUUUAUAAUUGAGUACGAAACAUAAAGAACAUUGGGCGGCAUAUAAGAAACGCAUGGCAUCCACGCGCGUUGGCUGUCUUUUUCUUUUGUUUGCUUGCUCUCACCUCCU